rnacentral:rRNA from 1 species
AUGAACGCUGGCGGCGUGCCUAAUACAUGCAAGUCGAGCGAACAGACGAGGAGCUUGCUCCUCUGACGUUAGCGGCGGACGGGUGAGUAACACGUGGAUAACCUACCUAUAAGACUGGGAUAACUUCGGGAAACCGGAGCUAAUACCGGAUAAUAUAUUGAACCGCAUGGUUCAAUAGUGAAAGACGGUUUUGCUGUCACUUAUAGAUGGAUCCGCGCCGCAUUAUCUAGUUGGUAAGGUAACGGCUUACCAAGGCAACGAUGCGUAGCCGACCUGAGAGGGUGAUCGGCCACACUGGAACUGAGACACGGUCCAGACUCCUACGGGAGGCAGCAGUAGGGAAUCUUCCGCAAUGGGCGAAAGCCUGACGGAGCAACGCCGCGUGAGUGAUGAAGGUCUUCGGAUCGUAAAACUCUGUUAUUAGGGAAGAACAAAUGUGUAAGUAACUAUGCACGUCUUGACGGUACCUAAUCAGAAAGCCACGGCUAACUACGUG